rnacentral:rRNA from 1 species
AUGACGGUACCUAAGAAAUAAAGCAAUCGGGCUAAAUUCCGUGCCAGCAGCCGCGGUAAUACGGAGGAUCCAAGCGUUAUCCGGAAUUAUUGGGCGUAAAGCGUCCGCAGGUGGCAAAUUAAGUCCUGCUGUAAAAGCCUCUGGCUCAACCCGGUAAAGGCAGUGGAAACUGCAUAGCUAGAGUGCGGUAGGGGCAGAGGGAAUUCCCGGUGUAGCGGUGAAAUGCGUAGAGAUCGGGAAGAACACCGGUGGCGAAAGCGCUCUGCUGGGCCGUACCUGACACUGAGGGACGAAAGCUAGGGGAGCGAACGGGAUUAGAUACCCCGGUAGUCCUACCCGUAAACGAUGGAUACUAGGCGUGGCGGGUAUCCGACCCGAUGCAGUGCCGUAGCUAACGCUUAAGUACCCCGCUGGGGAGUACGCCGC